ACAAACAAAGAGCAAAAGCAUGAACAUCGAACUGUCUCGUCGCUCUGGUUUUUCAUUGUCUGUAGACCGGAUUAACUGCAACAUUUCAAGUAGCAGUAACUGAAAACAGCAUCAAGUACAGCUCAUUGCUACUUCUUCUUCUUCUUGGCUUCCCUACUUCCUGCUACUAAUCCCAGCUGGAUCAGGACUGCAUUCAUUUCUCUAAUCACAAUGGCAGCAGGAAGGUGUUUGAUGACUCCAGGGCAGAAAUUCUUUAUUUGACUACCACAACAGCAUCUGUUAACCCUGCUCCUUAUCUCCGUCCCCUUCAGUAAAACUUUCCCAUCUCAUUUACUAGUCAAAUUACCAACAACCAAAUCACACGGUCAUUGUGGAACAUUUGGGGCACUCAUGUGGGAUGGGAGACAAUGCUGCACUCUUUAAAGCCUAUUUAACACCCAUCACCUAAUGAAUGGUUUAUAACACACUAUACUGUCGUUGUAAGCAGAUUCAUAGUGUGUGUGUGUGUGUGUGUGUGUGUGUGUGUGUGUGUGUGUGUGUGUGAUCUACUAAGAUUUAUAGUAGCAACAAAUACUUCAUCUGUAAAUGGUUGUAUGGAUGAUGAUGAUGAUGGACAGCUUUUGUAAAAAAUAUAUAUAUAUAUAUAAAUUGGGAUUUAUUUUCCUAAUGGAAAUAUCAAUUCAGGUCAAUUUCAUGCGGAAGAAAAUGUAUUAAAAGGAAGGUUUUGACAGGAACAGUCUGAGCUAAAUAUGAAGCUGUAGUCAGGAGGCAGUUCUGUUGGAGGUAAGUGCUCGCUUUGCUUGUUUUUCUCCCUAUAAUAAAGUUAUGGUCUUGACCUUACCCUGUAAAGUACCUUGAGAUAAUGUAUAUCUUAAUUUGGCGCUAUACAAAUAAAACUGAAUUGAAUCGAAUUAAUUUCAUUUUUACUGUACAGGUAGGAGAGUGGUACGAAAGCGGCAACGCACCAAAAUAUCGAACUGUUGCUGUAAAGGAUCAAAAGUUUGUUUGUUUCUGCCGAGUUGACAAGAGCAAGACUUUCAAUCGUCUCCAUCGGUCAAUUAUUCACACAACAAAAAUCACUUAUUCCACUUUGUUAUUAAUGUGAAAGGUGAAAUAAAAUAAAAAAUAAAAUAAAAUAAAAUAAAAAAUCACAUGAAUGAAUCAAAUGACAAAUAAACAUUCCUACAAAACAAUCACCCCAGCAUCAUUUAGGAAGACAGAAAAUAAACAACAAUG